GAGUUAGACACAUGUAACUACCCUGGAGAGCUGACAUCACACAUUUAACUACCCUGGAGAGGUGACAUCACACAUUUAACUACCCUGGAGAGAUGACAUCACACAUGUAACUACCCUGGAGAGAUGACAUCACACAUGUAACUACCCUGGAGAGAUGACAUCACACAUUUAACUACCCUGGAGAGGUGACAUCACACAUUUAACUACCCUGGAGAGGUGACAUCACACAUUUAACUACCCUGGAGAGCUGACAUCACACAUUUAACUACCCUGGAGAGGUGACAUCACACAUUUAACUACCCUGGAGAGAUGACAUCACAGGGCCCAUUGGAAUGCAGUAUGUCCUAUUUAAUGCACUACCUUUGAAC
ensembl:lncRNA